CAUGGCGCCUCCAUUUCUUAUGUCAAAAAGUUCGUCAAGCUUCGUGUGUGUAGCUUGUGUGUAGAUGGCAACAAAACCAAGCGUCUGCGACUAUUUCUAUCAGCUAUUGUUUAAUUUGUGUGUCAUCAUGAUUUUAUAACAGCAUAUUUGAUUUGGAUAGCGUUUGGACAUCAUGUUUUUCGUCGACUGCUGCAGCUGACCUCCAUGCUGAUAUAAUGGAAGAAACCCAUGGAAUGAAAGAAACUUAUGUGAUACAGUGACAAUAUGCAGUGACAAAACGAUGAAAUGUCGAAUAAAAGUAUUUGUGGUGAAUUUAUGCAUUUAUUCCAUGAAAUAUUAACACCUUCUGUUGUAACUUAACGAAGAUCUAUAAAAUACAUG